GACAGAGGUGCCGAGCGUUAGGCGGAAUCACUGGGCUUAAAGCGUGUGUAGGCGGGUCGUUAAGUGUCUUGUGAAAUCCCCCGGCUCAACCGGGGAAUGGCUGGGCAUACUGGCGAUCUUGAGCAGUCUAGGGGCAGAUGGAACAAGUGGUGGAGCGGUGAAAUGCGUAGAUAUCACUUGGAACGCCAACGGUGAAGACAGUCUGCUGGGGACUUGCUGACGCUGAGACACGAAAGCCAGGGGAGCAAACGGG
rnacentral:rRNA from 1 species